UACGAAGGGGGGCUAGCGUUGCUCGGAAUCACUGGGCGUAAAGCGCACGUAGGCGGACUCUUAAGUCGGUGGUGAAAUCCUGGAGCUCAACUCCAGAACUGCCUUCGAUACUGGGAGUCUCGAGUUCGGGAGAGGUGAGUGGAACUGCGAGUGUAGAGGUGAAAUUCGUAGAUAUUCGCAAGAACACCAGUGGCGAAGGCGGCUCACUGGCCCGAUACUGACGCUGAGGCACGGAAAGCGUGGGGA
rnacentral:rRNA from 1 species